rnacentral:tRNA from 1 species
GACUCCGUGGCGCAACUGAUUAGCGCGUUGGACGUCUAAUUCAAAGGUUGUGGGUUCGAGUCCCACCGGAGGUG